AGAGUUUGAUCCUGGCUCAGGAUGAACGCUAGCUACAGGCUUAACACAUGCAAGUCGAGGGGCAGCAUGGUCUUAGCUUGCUAAGGCCGAUGGCGACCGGCGCACGGGUGAGUAACACGUAUCCAACCUGCCGUCUACUCUUGGACAGCCUUCUGAAAGGAAGAUUAAUACAAGAUGGCAUCAUGAGUCCGCAUGUUCACAUGAUUAAAGGUAUUCCGGUAGACGAUGGGGAUGCGUUCCAUUAGAUAGUAGGCGGGGUAACGGCCCACCUAGUCUUCGAUGGAUAGGGGUUCUGAGAGGAAGGUCCCCCACAUUGGAACUGAGACACGGUCCAAACUCCUACGGGAGGCAGCAGUGAGGAAUAUUGGUCAAUGGGCGCAAGCCUGAACCAGCCAAGUAGCGUGAAGGAUGACUGCCCUAUGGGUUGUAAACUUCUUUUAUAAAGGAAUAAAGUCGGGUAUGUAUACCCGUUUGCAUGUACUUUAUGAAUAAGGAUCGGCUAACUCCGUGCCAGCAGCCGCGGUAAUACGGAGGAUCCGAGCGUUAUCCGGAUUUAUUGGGUUUAAAGGGAGCGUAGGUGGACUGUUAAGUCAGUUGUGAAAGUUUGCGGCUCAACCGUAAAAUUGCAGUUGAUACUGUCAGUCUUGAGUGCAGUAGAGGUGGGCGGAAUUCGUGGUGUAGCGGUGAAAUGCUUAGAUAUCACGAAGAACUCCGAUUGCGAAGGCAGCCUGCUAAGCUGCAACUGACAUUGAGGCUCGAAAGUGUGGGUAUCAAACAGGAUUAGAUACCCUGGUAGUCCACACGGUAAACGAUGAAUACUCGCUGUUUGCGAUAUACAGCAAGCGGCCAAGCGAAAGCGUUAAGUAUUCCACCUGGGGAGUACGCCGGCAACGGUGAAACUCAAAGGAAUUGACGGGGGCCCGCACAAGCGGAGGAACAUGUGGUUUAA
rnacentral:rRNA from 1 species